AAUUCAUUUUCUGAGAAAUCAUGACUUUUUGCUAUGGUAGGUCUUCGAGAUGCUUUCGAUGACCUAUGUUGUAUUGAAAGGAUAUAUACAUGAUCCAAUCGGAUCUGAGCCAUUGCGUAA